CAGCAGAAGAGGAGGAAGCUCAUAUGGAUCUGAAUUGCCUGUGAAAGGGCAGCACCUUCAUAUCUCAGCACAGGUUGAAUUGAGCCAUUUCUAUUGCUUGGGAGGCUUUCAGUCAGCAGAUCUGCUGGGCAUGCUGAGGCAUGGUUUCCCGACAGCCCUGGACAGAGAUUCAGGUUCAACAGGGAUCAAGAGAAGCUAAUCCAAGCUUUAAAUAUCAAGAGGACAUCACAUUUGGUCAGCUUUUUACAAGGCCAAUAUAUUGGCCAAGUAAGACCUUUUUUCUGGUUCAGCCUUACCUUCUAAGUACAGUCAGAGCAGCAGUAGGGGAUUUUCUAAGGAAGAAGGUUGAGGUGUGAGAUCAUGACAUCUUGGAAGCCAGUGGCAGAACUCUUCCUGACUUUGGCAAGACCAACACAACAAUGCACUUGCUGUGUCCUGAGCAGACAGGCCUUCAAAGCACCAUCAAAAGUAAACAGCUGGGAGGGGAAAGACCACUUCACCAGUUCACCAAUCAUCAUGUAUAGGAGGAGGAAGGAAAAGAAAAUGGAAGAAAAGAGAGUUUAUGGAUUGUGGAAGGAUAUUGAUUGCAAAAAUUAUUAUAAAAAAGGAGGAAAAAUCUUUUGGAGAGGAAUAUAUGCCGAUCUCUUUGCUGUAUUCAUCAACAGAUCAUGAAUAUGAAAGCUGUCAGUUUUUGAUAUCUUGAGAAAUUCAUAUAGAAUAAUCCAGCCAAUAUGUCACCUCUUAAUUGUGUGAUGCAUCCAAUUUUGAUCAAAUAUUACCAUAAUAAGCUUUGUGCCAAAGGAAAAAAGUUGCUGUUCUGAAGAGAGGCUGCUUUAUUGUCUGAAGUUCCAGAGAUGAACUAGAAUAAAAGACAUGGAUACAUCCCUGUUGAUAGUUUUCAUGUAAUUGUAUGCAUGGAAGCUAAACUAUCUCUUUAUUGCUAGUAAUAAAUAUUGAUGAGUGCAUUUUAAGAGUUGUCAUUAUAUCAGAGGCAAAUAACAAAGUCCAAAGACUUAAUAUACUUAAUUUUUUUCAGCCUUUCCUUGCAUAGCUCAUAGUAGA